rnacentral:rRNA from 1 species
GACGAACGCUGGCGGCGUGCCUAAUACAUGCAAGUAGAACGCACAGUUUAUACCGUAGCUUGCUACACCAUAGACUGUGAGUUGCGAACGGGUGAGUAACGCGUAGGUAACCUGCCUGGUAGCGGGGGAUAACUAUUGGAAACGAUAGCUAAUACCGCAUAAUAUUAAUUAUUGCAUGAUAAUUAAUUGAAAGGUGCAAUUGCACCACUACCAGAUGGACCUGCGUUGUAUUAGCUAGUAGGUGAGGUAACGGCUCACCUAGGCGACGAUACAUAGCCGACCGGAGAGGGUGAUCGGCCACACUGGGACUGAGACACGGCCCAGACUCCUACGGGAGGCAGCAGUAGGGAAUCUUCGGCAAUAGACGAAAGUCUGACCGAGCAACGCCGCGGGAGUGAAGAAGGUUUUCGGAUCGGAAAGCUCUGUUGUAAGAGAAGAACGGGUGUGAGAGUGGAAAGUUCACACUGUGACGGUAUCUUACCAGAAAGGGACGGCUAACUACGUG